UACGAGGGGGGCGAGCGUUGUUCGGAAUUAUUGGGCGUAAAGGGUGCGUAGGCGGUUUGGUAAGUCUCGUGUGAAAUCUCCGGGCUCAACUCGGAGCCUGCACGAGAAACUGCCGGGCUUGAGUGUGGGAGAGGUGAGUGGAAUUCCUGGUGUAGCGGUGAAAUGCGUAGAUAUCAGGAGGAACACCUGUGGCGAAAGCGGCUCACUGGACCAUAACUGACGCUGAUGCGCGAAAGCUAGGGGAGCAAACAGG
rnacentral:rRNA from 1 species